rnacentral:rRNA from 1 species
GACAGAGGGGGCAAGCGUUGCUCGGAAUUACUGGGCGUAAAGGGCGCGUAGGCGGGAUGGCAAGUCGGUCGUGAAAUCCUUCGGCUCAACCGAAGAACGUCGAUCGAUACUGCUGUUCUUGAGGGUUGCAGAGGAGACUGGAAUUCCCGGUGUAGCGGUGAAAUGCGCAGAUAUCGGGAGGAACACCGAUGGCGAAGGCAGCUCGCUGGGACGUGACUGACGCUGAGACGCGAAAGCGUGGGGAGCAAACAGG